UUGCAUGGAAUAAUGGAAUAGGACUUCGGUUCUAUUUUGUUGGUUUUCGGAUCCGAAGUAAUGGUUAAGAGGGACAGACGGGGGCAUUUGUAUGGCGGUGUGAGAGGUGAAAUUCUGGGAUCGCCGCCAGACAAACUACAGCGAAAGCAUUUGCCAAGAAUGUUUUCAUUGAUCAGGAGCGAAAGUCAGAGUUUCGAAGACGAUCAGAUACCGUCGUAGUUCUGACCAUAAACGAUGCCAACUGACGAUCCGCGGCGGCACUUAUAUUGGCUCCGCGGGCAGUCCCCGGGAAACCUUUAAGUCUUUGGGCUCCGGGGGAAGUAUGGUUGCAAAGCUGAAACUUAAAGGAAUUGACGGAAGGGCACCACCAGGAGUGGAGCCUGCGGCCUAAUUCGACUCAACACGGGAAAACUCACCCGGCCCGGACACUGUGAGGAUUGACAGAUUGAGAGCUCUUUCUUGAUUCGGUGGUUGGUGGUGCAUGGCCGUUCUUAGUUGGUGGAGCGAUUUGUCUGGUUAAUUCCGAUAACGAACGAGACUUUGACCUACUAAAUAGUACGCUCGUCCUCUGUGCGCGUAUAGACUGCGGCUUGCAUUGCUUAUCCAAGUGAUGUGGUCGUGGGUCAGCGUGUACGGUGCGGGUGUUACUUCUUAGAGGGACAAGCGGCGUUCAACCAGUCGCACGAAAUUGAGCAAUAACAGGUCUGUGAUGCCCUUAGAUGUCCGGGGCCGCACGUGCGCUACAAUGACGGUGCCAGCGAGUCUGGAAACCUUACCCGAAAGGGUUGGGCAAGCUGUUCCAUCACCGUCGUGACUGGGAUCGGGGCUUGCAAUUAUUCCCCGUGAACGAGGAAUUCCUGGUAAGUGCAAGUCAUAAGCUUGCGCUGAUUACGUCCCUGCCCUUUGUACACACCGCCCGUCGCUACUACCGAUUGAAUGGUCCAGUGAAAUCAUUGGAUCGGUGCCAUU
rnacentral:rRNA from 1 species